AUGUUUUUAGCCUUAAACUGCAACCUAGCAAAUUAUCUUUUAUCUUGCUGGAGGACUACACAAGAUAAUAACAUGUUAAAUGUUAUAUUUAUGUACAUGAGUCAUAAGUGAUGUUUUCUAAUUUCCUCUGCCGGCUUUUUUUGUAAAACAGCUAUGACUAUUAUCACAUUCUACAAUAGCCUCAGGUUGGCAAAAGCUUAUGCUUUUCUGCAUUGGUUUGAAUACAGCAGCGUCAUUACAUCCUCAUACUCAUAGUUAUAAGGCUAACCUCUACUGCUGUCUCAAGGCAACAGUGUCUCCUUGUUGUGGUGAAGUAAUUUAAUGUUUAUUCCGGGGUUGACUUGGAGCAGCAAUUUUCAAAGUCUGUCAUUAUAAAAAGCUGAGAGAAAAUGCAGAUUUUCUGUCCAUAACCAUCAAGCAUGUGGCGGGCAUCCAAGCAUAAAACGGCUCCCCUCUCUCUCUCCCCCUCGCUUGCCCUUACACCCAUCACGCUCCUUCCCUCCCACUCUUGUGUCAGUCGUGUUGUUGGGCUUUGCUGAGAGGACGUAGCAGCCACCGUUCAUUUAGAAGAGCCAGGGGAGAGCAGAGGAGAGGAGAGGACACCAGAUCUGGCCAGGCCCAGCCCAGCCCAAGUGCAACACACCUAUUGCCAAGUUUAGCUUAGCGUUGACUGGUGUGUCACAUACAAUAGCUUUAGCCAAGGGUCCUCUGGGUCAUGUGGCUCCUGGACUGGAUCUUCUCAAUCAACACAGCUGUGGUGAAGCUAGCCAGCGGUCUCACAUGCAAGUUAACUGCUGCCCCUGUUUGUCAUCCAUCAAUUUGCAGAAAUAUGUAAUUUUUUUAUUUUUUUUUUAUUUUUUUAUGUGUUGGUUGUAUAGGCCUGUGAAGAUAUUUGGUUUCCGGUUUCUGUGAAGGGGCUUUGUUUUCUGUGAACUUGGAAAGCCUGCAGUGGUUGAACCGGUGUUGUAGUACAAAGAUGUAGUGUCCUCUUUCUGUUGUUACUGGAGCAUCACACUCUUUCUGCUUGGAGGCCCAGUUAAUACAUUAAACCGUGCUGCAAACAUGA